UACGUAGGGGGCUAGCGUUGUCCGGAAUCAUUGGGCGUAAAGAGCGUGUAGGCGGUCCGGUAAGUCCGCUGUGAAAGUCGGGGGCUCAACCCUCGAAUGCCGGUGGAUACUGUCGGGCUAGAGUGCGGAAGAGGCGAGUGGAAUUCCUGGGUGUAGCGGUGAAAUGCGCAGAUAUCAGGAGGAACACCAAUUGCGAAGGCAGCUCGCUGGGACGGUACUGACGCUGGAGACGCGAAAGCGUGGGGAGCAAACAGG
rnacentral:rRNA from 1 species